AUAGAGCUCUGGAGGAUGGGAAUGAAAAUGGAGGCCUCUUAAUCUCCAGCCAGGAGGAGAUGAGAGCUCGGCGUCCCACUCCUCAUUGCGCCCUCAGAGAAAAGCGCUCAAUCACUACCAUCUCCCUGGUCUCCGGCCGCUCUCUGAGCUCACCCGGCCUGCAACUGGGUCAAG